rnacentral:tRNA from 1 species
UCCCUGGUGGUUCAGACGGUAAAGAAUCUGCCUGCAAUGCAGGAGACCCAGGUUCGAUCCUUGGAUAAGGAA